rnacentral:rRNA from 1 species
CCUGGUUGAUCCUGCCAGUAGUCAUAUGCUUGCCUCAAAGAUUAAGCCAUGCAUGUCUAAGUAUAAGCACUCCUUUUACUGUAAAACUGCGGACGGCUCAUUAAAUCAGUUAUAAUCUACAUGAUCAUAAAUCUCCUACAUGGAUAACCGUGGGAAUACUAGAGCUAAUACAUGAUUCACAAAUCAGGACCUUCUUAGGAAGGAAAUGAUGAAUUUAUUAGAUUAACCAACGUGGGGUAUUUAAACUGUUCAGAACUUGUCUCUGCAAUGGGCCUCAGUCUCUUUUUUGAGAUACUUUUGGUGAUUCAAAAUAACUAAUCUAAUCGCAGUAACAUUUAUUUGUUGGCGAUGAUACAUACGAAUUUCUGCACGAUUAACUGUCGAAGGUUGUAUAGAGGACAACUUUGGUGAUAAUCGUUGACGGGGAAUAAGGGUUCUAUUCCGGAGAGGGAGCCUGAGAAAUGGCUACCACUUCCAAGGAAGGCAGCAGGCGCGCAAAUUAUCCAAUUCCAAUUCGGAGAGAUAGUGACAAGAAAUACCAAUACAAUGCCAAUGGUGUUGUGUUUGGAAUGAGUGUAAUUUAAAACAAUUAUCAAGGAACGAUUGGAGGGCAAGUCUGGUGCCAGCAGCCGCGGUAAUUCCAGCUCCAAUAGUGUAUAUUAAAGUUGCUGCAGUUAAAAAGCUCGUAGUUGGAUGUCGGUUAUUGUGGAGAUUGUCUACUCUUUAAAGAGUACGUACAUAAUCCCAAUACCUUCUUUCUGGUAGUGGAUGAAAUACUUUGCUCCAGAUCUUUUACUUUGAGAAAAUUAGAGUGUUCAAAGCAGGCGUAACAAUGCCUUUGAAUAUAUUAGCAUGGGAUAAUGAAAUAAGACUUUUUGCCUUAUUCUCGUUGGUUCUUUUGGGCUUAAGUAAUGAUUAAUAGGGACAGUUGGGGUUAUCUGUAUUUGAUCGCCAGAGGUGAAAUUCUAAGACUGAUCAAAGACAAACUACUGCGAAAGCAUUUAACAAGGAUGUUUUCAUUAAUCAAGAACGAAAGUUGGGGGAUCGAAGAUGAUCAGAUACCGUCGUAGUCCCAACCAUAAACUAUGCCGACCAAGGAUUCGACAAUGUUAAAAUUGAAUGACCUCUCGAGCACUUAUAGAGAAAUCACAAGUAUUUGGGUUCCGGGGGGAGUAUGGUCGCAAGGCUGAAACUUAAAGGAAUUGACGGAAGGGCACCACAAGGAGUGGAAUAUGCGGUUUAAUUUGACCCAACACGGGAAAGCUUACCAGGUCCAGACACAAGGAGGAUUGACAGGUUGAGAGCUCUUUCUUAAUUUUGUGGGUGGUGGUGCAUGGCCGUUUCUAGUUGGUGGAGUGAUUUGUCUGGUUAAUUCCGUUAACGAACGAGACCUUAACCUAUUAAG